ensembl:rRNA 5S_rRNA 5S ribosomal RNA
GUCUGCAGCUGCACCAGUCUGAACAUACCCAAUCUUGUCUAAUCUUGGAAGUUAAGCAUGAUUGUAUCUGGUUAGUACUUGGAUAGGAGAUUACCUGGAACUACUGUAUUCUGAAACCU